CAGGUUUCAAUGGAGCUGUGAAAGAUGAAACAGGAGCAGUGCCCGCAGGGGAGGAGGAGGAGGUGGGUGCACGAGUAGAGGGCCGUGGAGGAGGAGGUGGUUUCAAUGGAGCUGUGAAAGAUGAAACAGGAGCAGUGCCCGCAGGGGAGGAGGAGGAGGUGGGUGCACGAGUAGAGGGCCGUGGAGGAGGAGGUCGCAUUU
rnacentral:lncRNA from 1 species